AGCGAACGCUGGCGGCAGGCUUAACACAUGCAAGUCGAACGGGCGUAGCAAUACGUCAGUGGCAGACGGGUGAGUAACGCGUGGGAACGUACCUUUUGGUCGGAACAACCCAGGGAAACGUUGGGCUAAUACCGGAUAAGCCCUUACGGGGAAAGAUUUAUCGCCGAAAGAUCGGCCCGCGUCUGAUUAGCUAGUUGGUGAGGUAACGGCUCACCAAGGCGACGAUCAGUAGCUGGUCUGAGAGGAUGAUCAGCCACAUUGGGACUGAGACACGGCCCAAACUCCUACGGGAGGCAGCAGUGGGGAAUAUUGGACAAUGGGCGCAAGCCUGAUCCAGCCAUGCCGCGUGAGUGAUGAAGGCCCUAGGGUUGUAAAGCUCUUUUGUGCGGGAAGAUAAUGACGGUACCGCAAGAAUAAGCCCCGGCUAACUUCGUGCCAGCAGCCGCGGUAA
rnacentral:rRNA from 1 species